rnacentral:lncRNA from 1 species
GACCCUCGCGUCCGGACGCGGUCCCCGGAGGCGGCUGGCCCCGGUGCCGCCCUCGCGUCCCGCCGAGCGCCCGCUGCGGCGGCCCGGGGAGGAUCGCGGGCCCGCCUCGUGGCCAAGAAGCGCGAGUGACCUGCAGGCCCGAGGCGGGAGAACCAUACAAUGGAAUCAGUCAACAGGAGGGCCUUCCACAUUUGAAAGUAUCUAUCAAAGGAAAAUAAGAAGGCCCAAGCAAGUAAUUCAGACUUUCAGCCUCACCACAAUAAAGUACAGUGAUAGAAAUGGAUGGAGGGCAGACUUCAGCUUCCUACACUUUGUGCGACGAUCAUUUCAAUGGUGUAAACCCUGAAGCCAGAUCCUUCGGCUCUUGAAUUGAGAACUUUUUAAAAUAGCAGGCACAGUGGUUGUCUCUUGGUCAUUGCUACAAUCUCAUAAUAGAAGCAGGAAGCUGCUGUUUGUAUUCUGUGGCCACAGUUGCAAACAAUAAAAAGGAGACAGUCUUCUGAAGCUGUUGUCAGGUCUCUCUGGGACUAAGUGCCAGGUGGUUUUAU